CAGCACCUCAAGUGGUCAGGAUGAUUAUUGGGCCUAAAGCACCCGUAGCCGGCGCUGUAAGUUUUCGGUUAAAUCUGUACGCUCAACGUACAGGCUGCCGGGAAUACUGCAGCGCUAGGGAGUGGGAGAGGUAGACGGUACUCGGUAGGAAGGGGUAAAAUCCUUUGAUCUAUUGAUGACCAUCUGUGGCGAAGGCGGUCUACCAGAACACGUCCGACGGUGAGGGAUGAAAGCUGGGGGAGCAAACCGGAUUAGAUACCCGAGUAGUCC
rnacentral:rRNA from 1 species